rnacentral:rRNA from 1 species
AGAGUUUGAUCCUGGCUCAGAACGAACGCUGGCGGCGUGCCUAACACAUGCAAGUCGAACGGAGAUAAGGGGCUUGCUCCUUAUUUUAGUGGCGCACGGGUGAGUAACGCGUGGAUAAUCUACCUUGGAAUCUGGGAUAACAUUUCGAAAGGGGUGCUAAUACCGGAUAAGACCACGAUCUCUUUGGAGAUUGCGGUAAAAGGGGGCCUCUGUAUAUGCUUCUGUUUCAAGAUGAGUCCGCGUACCAUUAGCUAGUUGGCAGGGUAAUGGCCUACCAAGGCGACGAUGGUUAGCUGGUCUGAGAGGAUGAUCAGCCACACUGGAACUGAGACACGGUCCAGACUCCUACGGGAGGCAGCAGUGGGGAAUUUUGCGCAAUGGGGGAAACCCUGACGCAGCAACGCCGCGUGAGUGAUGAAGGCCUUCGGGUCGUAAAGCUCUGUCAGAGGGAAAGGAGUGUAUGGCGGUUAA